rnacentral:rRNA from 1 species
UACGUAGGAGGCGAGCGUUGUCCGGAGUUACUGGGCGUAAAGCGCACGCAGGCGGUCAGAUCAGUCUGGAGUGACAGUCGUCGGCUUAACCGACGAAGUGUUCUGGAAACUGUCUGACUUGAGGGCUUCAGAGGGACACGGAAUUCCGGGUGGAGUGGUGAAAUGCGUAGAUAUCCGGAGGAACACCAAUGGCGAAGGCAGUGUCCUGGGAAGUACCUGACGCUCAGGU